GGGAAAGUGAACGAAUCCCGAAUCAAAGCGGCGCAUUGAGGCAGGUGGGGUGCCAGUGGAAGAGAGAAAGCAGGCGAGUGUUUACGGCCUGACUUGGGAGGCCGGCGGAUCAGCAAUUGCAGAAGCAGGCAGCGGCAGAGAGGGAAUGGUGCAGGCAGGCGCUGAGAAGGACGCGCAGUCCAUCUCUCUCAGAUGUGAAAAACCCUUGACACGAUUGCAUGUCACUUACGAAGGUACCAUAGAAGAAAAUGGCCGAGGCAUGCUACAGGUGGAUUUUGCAAAUCAUUUUGUUGGAGGUGGUGUAACCAGUGCAGGACUUGUGCAAGAAGAAAUCCGCUUUUUAAUCAAUCCUGAGUUGAUUAUUUCACGGCUCUUCACUGAGGUGCUGGAUCACAAUGAAUGUCUAAUUAUCACAGUGUCAGAGAUGGCUUUGGAUUCCCCAUUCUGUGUGCUGCUGUCUGGCUCCUGAACCCACCUGUAGAGGUGUGUCAAUCCCAGCUGGUGAAGUACUGAGAAGAAGCUACACAAAAGGCAUCAAAGUAUUAGUAAGUGUACCUCUGACAUUUUAACCACCUCUGACUUUUCCAUGGAAUGGACAAGUAGUAGUCUCUGUCAGAGCUACAUUUUAAAGGAGAAAAAGAAACGUGAAGUCAUGAACUGUUUAUUUAUGCUGUUAUUUUUGUGUUUACUCACCUCAUUUAUAUUGACUUGUAAAUUAGUAAUUUCUGAACUAUUACUUAUCAAUUCAUUGCCUACAUGUCAGCAAACAAAUUUUCUUCUUAAUAAAGAAUACAGUUGCUGGGCA
rnacentral:lncRNA from 1 species